GAAGCCCUAAACCUAAGCACUGUAUUUCUAGGAAGAAAAAGGAAAAAAGAAGGAGAGAGGAAGAAGGCAGGAAUAUUAAUUGAGAGGGCCCUUCAAACAAGAAUGGAUAAGUAUUCUCUCAGAAAUGCUUUUGUUUCUAAAAGCCCUGAGCUAAAAAGUUUCCGUUGGACUACAUGUAAGCUCCUUUUAAGUUUAAUAAAUGACUUCGUACCUUGAUCAUCAGGAUACAUCUGUAGCGUAUGAAGUACAGUGUCUGUCAUCCCUUGCUGAGACAACAUUUCUAAGGCUCCUGAACACUCUACCACAGAUGAAAGUAUCUGAAAUCCACACUUCUGAAUUCCGGGAUGGCCAAUGAACUAGAAAUAAAGAGAAAAUAAACACGGGCACACUAAAGAACUGAAAUAAAGAGUUAAAUAUAUUUUUGUUCAUUUUUUGCAAACAUAAAAAAACAUUACUGCAGUAUUUAAGUAAUCAGCAAUUUGAAUAUUGUUGAGUUGGUUCAAUUAAUGUCAUGGUUCUAUGAAAGUUAAACUGAUGUAGAGUUGUAUGUCUUACAAUUUAACUGCUUUGAGUAGACUAGAGGAUAGAAAUGUAUUAAAACAAACAAAGGGCCCUUCCACACAGCCAUAUAACCCAGAAUAUCAAGGCAGAUAGUCCACAAUAUUGUCUUUGAACUGGAUUAUCUGAGUCCACACUGCCAUAUAAUCCAGUUCAAUGUGAAUUUUAUACAGCUAUGUGGAAGAAGCCAAAGUUGGGGAUCACACCAAGUAGGCCUUGAAAUGAUUGAUUAUCAUUUUGAGCUUCCAGUGACCAGUGAUGUCAAUGAUUAUUAUUAAUUUUUACUGUGUAGUUCACAGACACAAAACAAAUUUUAAAAUGUAAAAGCAUUGACCUUUUCUUCACAUAAGUUGCAGCAACUGAUCAAAGAUGAGAAAAGAAUUGUGUUUUUCUAGCAUUUUAUCUUCUAAAUACACUAAUGUUACUAUGCUAUCCUCCAGCUGUACACUCACAGAAUCACAGAGCUGGAAGAAACCUCGUCGGCCAUCUAGUCCAACCCCUGCCAAGAAGCAGGAAAACUGCAUUCAAAGCAUCCCCGACAGAUGGCCAUCAAAGAAGGAGCCUCCACCACACUCUGUAGCAGAGAGUUCCACUGCUGAACAGCUCUCACAGUUAAGAAGUUCUUCCUGAGGUUCAGAAGGAAAACUUGCCAUGAGAAGAAAAAUAAUGAACUGUACCGUGUUGAGAGCAUCGAGGACCAAUGCGUGAGUCCCUUCUAACAAAC